GACGAACGCUGGCGGCGUGGAUUAGGCAUGCAAGUCGAACGGUAUCAUCCUUCGGGGGUGAGAGAGUGGCGAACUGGUGAGUAACACGUAGGUUAUCUACCCCAAGACGGGACAACCCAGGGAAACUUGGGCUAAUACCGGAUGUGAGCAACUUUUAGUUGUUUGAAAGGUGGCGUAAGCUGUCGCUUGGGGAUGAGCCUGCGUCCUAUUAGUUAGUUGGUGAGGUAACGGCUCACCUAGGCAAUGAUAGGUAGGCGGCCUUAACGGGUGGUCGCCCACACUGGGAUUGAGAUACGGCCCAGACUCCUACGGGAGGCAGCAGUCGAGAAUAGUCUACAAUGGUCGGAAGACUGAUAGUGCGACGCCGCGUGAACGAUGAAUCCCUUCGGGGUGUAAAGUUCUUUUAUAUGUGAGCAGUGCUUCUUAUAUUAACAGUAUGGGGAGAGAGAUAUUAGCAUAUGAAUAAGCAACGGCUAACUCCGUG
rnacentral:rRNA from 1 species